UCUACAUUUAAUAAGGAAUGAAAAAAAUCCUAUGCUAAGGUUGCUAAGAUCUAUGAAUUCAUAUCAGAAUUGUGCAAACAGAAAUAUCCAAGAAAACAACUAUAGUCCCAGGUUACCUGGUUGGUAGCUGGUACAGUGGGGCCAGAGCCCACGCACAAGCAUUUCCCAGGACACUCUGGGAACAGUGGCAUUACUUGGAUGGAUGGCGGCCCCACCUGCCUCUCCUCUGUCUUGUGUGUGAGUCCACAAUAAUGUCUCAAAAAUCCCUGGAGGCCAGUUUUGAGUCAUGUGUGAUGCACAGAGAAGAUGUGUUUUCAGACCUUACAUUGACUGCCUUAUGGUAUAAGAACAAUUCAGAGGACCUCCAUCAUGCCUUGCUAACCUCUGUGGAGGUAAUAAAGGAUCAACUGAGUCACAUUCUCUAGAGCCACCAAG
ensembl:lncRNA